CUACACGACGAACCGGAAGUGGUUUUAUAUCGGCUGUCGGCUCUUUAGCAAGCUAAAUUACUUUUAAAGAUAAUUCUUCUUUACGAUUUUUGGAAACGGACCAACGCGAGAUUUUUGUGUCAUUUUCUCCAGUGGAUCUUGGUACAGCGCCACCACAGGCGCAGAGCGGGAAGACAGCUGAACUGCGCCAGGCUCGGUGAGAACUGAAAGGCCUGCUGAGAACAAUGGCUGACAUCAGGAGAAACAUGCAGGAUCACCACCUGAACUUCUGAAGGAAGGGAGGAAGGAGGAUGUCAAUAAUAUGCUUGUUAUUGAAAGGCAGGAAGUGAGGAAAGGGGAAAAGGAUGAAAAGG